AGGAGGCAGCAGUGGGGAAUAUUGCACAAUGGGGGGAACCCUGAUGCAGCAACGCCGCGUGAAGGAUGAAGGUUUUCGGAUUGUAAACUUCUUUAGUCAGGGACGAAUAAAUGACGGUACCUGAAGAAUAAGCCACGGUUAACUACGUGCCAGCAGCCGCGGUAAUACGUAGGUGGCGAGCGUUGUCCGGAAUUACUGGGUGUAAAGGGCGUGUAGGCGGGAAUGUAAGUCAGAUGUGAAAUCCCAGGGCUUAACUCUGGAGCUGCAUCUGAAACUAUGUUUCUUGAGUGCCGGAGAGGAAAGCGGAAUUCCUAGUGUAGCGGUGAAGUGCGUAGAUAUUAGGAGGAACACCAGUGGCGAAGGCGGCUUUCUGGACGGUAACUGACGCUGAGGCGCGAAAGCGUGGGGAGCAAACAGGAUUAGAAACCCGGGUAGUCCG
rnacentral:rRNA from 1 species